GGAGGAGAACUUGAAGAAUUUCGAAAUUAUAUAUAGCGGGACUCCUCUAGGGUUUUGUUUCAUCUUCAGCUUCUUCUCUGAUAACUGUUUUCUCUUUUUUAUUAUAUUUAUUUUGGCAGAGACAAGAAAGAAUGACAAGACCACGAUGUUACUUGGACAUAAGCAUAGGAGGAGAACUUGAAGGAAGAAUUGUUGUGGAACUUUACAAUGAUGUUGUUCCUAAAACUGCUGAGAAU
rnacentral:misc_RNA from 1 species